rnacentral:rRNA from 1 species
CCUACGGGGGGCUGCAGUGGGGAAUAUUGGACAAUGGGCGAAAGCCUGAUCCAGCCAUGCCGCGUGUGUGAAGAAGGCCUUCGGGUUGUAAAGCACUUUCAGUGGGGAAGAAAGCCUUGGGGCUAAUACCCUCGAGGAAGGACAUCACCCACAGAAGAAGCACCGGCUAACUCCGUGCCAGCAGCCGCGGUAAUACGGAGGGUGUGAGCGUUAAUCGGAAUUACUGGGCGUAAAGCGCGCGUAGGCGGUCUGAUAAGCCGGUUGUGAAAGCCCCGGGCUCAACCUGGGAACGGCAUCCGGAACUGUCAGGCUAGAGUGCAGGAGAGGAAGGUAGAAUUCCCGGUGUAGCGGUGAAAUGCGUAGAGAUCGGGAGGAAUACCAGUGGCGAAGGCGGCCUUCUGGACUGACACUGACGCUGAGGUGCGAAAGCGUGGGUAGCAAACAGGAUUAGAUACCCUUGUAGUC